rnacentral:lncRNA from 1 species
UAGGAUUCUAGUGAACCUCAACUAAUUACCAGGUGGAGCUUUUACUUCCUGACAAAAAUGACUAGUUCUUCAGACCUCUGGUUAUGUUUCUGUCUUUUCCAGUUUUUCUCUUUAAUCAAUAACUGGAGCCACAUUAUUUUUAAAUGGCCUUUCCUCAAUUUCAGGAAUACCUGGUAUGGAUUCUUCCUUUCAUAAAUCUCUCGACCCUCCUGAAAUGCUACAAUGUUCCUCCACAGAAAACGAAUGCAGUGGUUAUAGGUUUGGGGAAAUAAUUACUUUUUUAUAGGCUUGAUAUUUGUGCAUACCAGGGAAAAGACAAGUGAGCUUUAUGAGCCUCCUAACGUUGUUAGGUGGCUUUUCUUCAGAACAUCACUUUAGUUCAAGAAUUUUAUGAAUCUUUGGAGGGGACAAUGAGUCAUGUUUUAAUUUGAUAGACUUGGUGGAAAACUAUAGCUACAGUGAAGCCUCUGUUCUUCCCCAUCAGGAUCCACGGGUGACAGUC